UGUAAAUGCCGCAGCGAUACGACUGUAUCGGUAAAACGGAGAUUUAAAAAAUAUUAUUGACUACAUAGAUAUUCGUAUUAAAUAUUAUAGACAGGUAUGUGUAUGUGCGUGUGUGUGUGUGUGUAUAUAUAUAAGCGAACAAAAGGUCAAACGGACAUUGAUGGCAUUGGUAAAUACCGCGCGGAGUCACAACAAAAGACGAGUGCGUAUCCAA